ACUCAAAUGAAUUGACGGGGGAGCGCACAACCGGUGGAGUAUGUGGUUUAAUUCGAUACAAAGCGAAAAACCUUACCCAGAUUUGACAUAUACCUGCAGACUUAUAGAAAUAUAGGUUUUCUUCGAGAGUGGUAUACAGGUGAUGCAUGGCUGUCGUCAGCUCGUGUCGUGAGACGUCCUCUUAAGUGAGGUAACGAGCGCAACCCUUAUCGUAUGUUACAAGUGUCAUACGAGACUGCCUUUGCUAUGCAAGGGAGGAAGGAGAGGAUGACGUCAAGUCAGCACGUCCCUUACAUCUGGGGCUACACACAUUCUACAAUGGAGCCGACAAUGGGUAGCGACAGGGUAACCUAGAGCUAAUCCUCCAAACGGCUCCUCAGUUCGGAUUGAGGGCUGCAACUCGCCCUCAUGAAGCCGGAAUCGGUAGUAAUCGCAAAUCAGCAUGUUGCGGUGAAUACGUUCUCGCUCCUUGUACACACCGCCCGU
rnacentral:rRNA from 1 species